AUGGAAUGCUUGAUGAUGACCACAAGCUGCUUCUUGAAUAGCAUCUGCAAUACAAAGAGAAUACAAAUAUUGAAAACCAGUUAUAAAGAAUACAAUUUGGAAAAAAAAAUAUAUAAAGAUAAAGUAUUGUACAGGGUUCAUAGCCAAUUUCAUGAAUGAUUUUCCAGGCAUUUUAAGGUAACACUUAAAGCUGGGUGAACUGAUCAACAGUGCAUUUGUACAGAAAAGGCACCUGAGAGGUUUACAUAUAUACAACCUUUAAGCUAUCAGAAAAAAAAAUCUCACCUGAGCAUAAUCAUUAGUAAAUAUGUGUGAUCAUCAUACUAGCGACCUUUUAGGCAAUAAUAACAUAAGUUGGAGUUAAGAUACUAAUUCUAUAGGCAAGUGGUCAAUGCAGUAACUCUUUGAUCAUCAUUUCAUCUACUGAAUCUUGAAGUCUGAACUCUAUUUUACAUAUAUAUAAAUGUAUUUGGAGUUAUCUUUCCUUGGAUUAAGAGUCCUUAUUGUUGAAAAAAGAGUGUUGCUCAUUUAUUUUUGAAGUUAGAAAGAGCAAGUAUAUAUUGACCAUCAUAGCUAAUAGCUGGCAGCUGUGAUUUAAGUAUAAGAAAAAUAUACGAGAGAAAUGAGAUGCAUGAUGUGUAGGGCAUUGAGAAUGGACUGAGUGUGAAACUGAAAACUGGCCUCCACAUAAAAUUGGAUAAGACUAACAUUGUGAGAGUGGGACAUAAUACCAAAGUUGCCCUUGUCAGACUUAAAAAAGAGUCAGAGCUUGAAGAGUUGGACAAGUUCACAUACCUUGGCAGCAUCAUAACAAACGAUGGAGAUGCCUACCAUAACAUAGCAUGCUGAAUAGGAAAGGCAUGGAAAGGCAUGCAACAUAUUUGGACAAGUCAAGCUGUAGGACUUACAAAGAUACACCUACUUGACACAAUCUUUAUCCCAACAGCAACAUAUGCAUGCAAAAUAUGGAAGUCAUCGUCGAAAUUGACAAAAGACUAAAUGUGGUUCAAAAAAAGAUAGCUAAGAUGAAUUUUAGGAGCCAAUUAUAGAGAUUGGGUCUCAAAUAUUUUUGAUAUUUGAUAUUUUGUUGUUUUUUUUUGGCACAUCAGCACAAUUUAGGCAAUGUCGUGCCCAUUUGGUCUCAAACAAGGAAAUCCUAUGCUGAACUGGGAGUUGACUACUUAGUGAGAUUGUGACAGAACGUCACAUGAGGUUUGCGGGACAUGUUCUCCAACAAAAUGAACUAUGCAUACCAGGAGUUGCGAUGAUAUGGAGGCUAAUAUGAGGAAAGCACAAACAGGGAAAUCCUCCUAUAACUUGGCACAACACUUUUAUGGAGGACCUCAGGGCAGUGGACAACAGGUCAAAAGUGGCUUCGGACAUUGCCAGUGACAGAUUUUUGUGGAGACAGCUUGCCGCUCAAUGCUCUGAAUGGCGCAGGAGUAUCUAAGUCUAAGUAAAAAAAUUUACAAUUCUCUUUCACUCACUCCAAAAAUAGUGUAAGUACAUUUUAUUGAAUAAUACAUAUUAUAGUUUAAAAAAUAAUAAUAAUAACUUAUUCUCUCAUUACUGUGGUCUAAACAGUAUGUUUCACCUACAAGUAAACUUUUAAAAGUGUGGAGAUUUACUAUAAAAAAAAAAAUUGCAGUUCUAUGUUAACACUCAGUAUUUUCUUAUAUAUUUUUAUUUUGCUUAGAAAUAAAUAUCAUUUUUAGCAAAUACUUCUAACAUACACAUAAUAUGUAAAAUUUAUACUAAUUUGAGACUUCCAUAGAAUUCUGCAGGACAUUAAUAAUGCUUCAUUCUCAAAUGCACAUUGCUAUAACAUAGAAAUCAACUUAGAUUUAGAAAAAAAAAAAACCCAUAUGGGCAGCUGUUUGAGACAAACAUCCAUAAAAAAAGCUAAAAAAGAUAAUAGAAAUAAAAAAUCCCCAUUUGGAUCAGGAUUUUUGUGACUUGACCAUCACAAAAGAGACACUACACAGAUAGCAAUAUCAGCAUUUCACAUGUAAAUUAUGAAUGAGUCAGGUGUGAAUGUACAUUUUGUUUUUUUUAGUUACAAUGUUUUGUUUGGUGUAAUGCACAAAUUGUAAGACAAAUUUCCUAACAGACAAUAAAGAUUAUUCUUAUUAU